rnacentral:lncRNA from 1 species
CGAGGUUUGAAGGAGCUCAGAUUGGCAGUGAUAGCAUUCCCGUGUACUUGGAGACUAGACACUUGGAGAAGGGCUCUGGGGGAAGGCUUCUUUUAGUUUUGUUUUGUGUUUUUGUUUAUUUUCUGUUUUAAAACUACAUCUCUGGACAGAGGAGCUUGGUUAGCUGACAUUGUUUUACAGUGCUGAAAAGAAGCGUGGCAUUCAACGGCAUGCACCAGCUACAGGGCCACAAGCAGAGGUCAUGCACUGCAGCGCCACUGGCCUGCACGAUGGAGAAAAAGAAAUAUGUUUAUGUAUCUAUACAUAUAUUUAGAGAGACAGAGCUCUGGUUCCAAAGGGAAUCAGCAGAGUCCAAAUUAAACGCCUGUGUUCCACCUGCAGGUUCCAUCCAACCUGUAAUUUCAGGGAAGGUAUAGGUACUUCCUUCUUGGUGGAGGGAUACCAGCUAGUUCCUGUCUCAUUUCCUUUCCUUUAAUGACCACCUUUGGUUAAAUUUGUUGUUUCUUUGUUCUGAUACAAGCAGUCUUUGA